rnacentral:lncRNA from 1 species
CCACAGGGUUGACUCUUUUUCCCAACCUGGGUCAUGAACAGAGUGUUUGUGAAGUUCUUGUUCAGAAUCCUGAUUACAGAUGAAAACCAACAUGGACCAGCUUAAGAAAAGAUGCUCCUUGGAAUAAAUGGGUGCUCCUGUGGACUGGCAGAGCUGACUGGGUCAGGGGGCACGUCCUACACAAGUCCAAACCAGGACUAAGAAACAGGUCACUGAUCCCAUGACUCUGCCCUCACCCCUUUCACCCAAACUAUUUAAAGAGGAGCAUAAAAAAGGAAGACUUUAGGCAAAACCAAGACAAACAGAAACACAAUGUAAUUCAAGAACACAUUCCAAAUACCUGCUCUUUAAACCUUUCCUUUUACACCUUAAGUUAAUUCCACUUUACUCCAGGUAUGUGUGAAGUAGUUCUCAUUAUGUUUUAGACAUCUGGAGUUUCCUAAAACUCCCUGUUCAUCUUCUCUUCUGAGCAACUUGUAUUUACCACCUUUUCUUUCAACCUGUUAGGUAUUUCCCUGCCUACUUGAGUUCAUAACCAAUUUUGUGUUUUCUCAUUUAAAUUUCAGUUUAAUGUGAUAACACAGUAUGUUACUCUGGUCUCACUUGAAAAGUUAAAUUGCUACAUGUUUGUUUUGUGGCUGUUCUGUCACAGCACAGCUUUCUGCUCUGGGGGAGAAGGGAAUAGGUUCUGACAGGUCCCACUCUCAACUAACUUAUCAUCUGAUCAAAUAAAAU